AAUGAACGUUGGCGGCGUGGAUUAGGCAUGCAAGUCGAGCGAGAACCCGCAAGGGGGACAGCGGCAAACGGGGUAGGAAUGAUUGGUGACGUACCCUCGGGACGGGGAUAGCCACGGGAAACUGUGGGUAAUACCCGAUAAUCUCCCAGGUUUGAAGACCUGGGUGCAAAGGUGUGAUUCCACCGGAGGAGCGGCCAAUCUGGUAUUAGCUAGUUGGUAGGGUAACGGCCUACCAAGGCUACGAUGCCUAGGGGGUGUGAGAGCAUGGCCCCCACCACUGGGACUGAGAUACUGCCCAGACACCUACGGGUGGCUGCAGUCGAGAAUCUUCGGCAAUGGGCGAAAGCCUGACCGAGCGACGCCGCGUGCGGGAUGAAGGCCUUCGGGUUGUAAACCGCUGUCAGAGGGGAUGAAGUUAUAGGAGGUUCUCCUUCUAUAUUGACAGAGCCUCAGAGGAAGCACGGGCUAAGUAUGUGCCAGCAGCCGCCGUAA
rnacentral:rRNA from 1 species